rnacentral:misc_RNA from 1 species
GUUGAACGCAUCAAUCGUCGGUCGUCCGAAUCAUGCCGACGCAUUGGAUCGUCGAGGCGCGGGUGAACGAUACCCGCAAGGGGGUUCGAGCGGUGGGCGACCCAGGAGGGGCUCCGUCCGUCCGUCUCGAGYUGCUCGYGCCUCGUCGUCSRAARAACARAAGGGACCGCGCGACCACSCCGSCCGCACGUCCRAAGUCCGCKGGCGGACGGGGACGGURACUCGAAGAGAGACCUCUGAUCGGCCGUCGCCCGCCGUGGCGGCUCGGUCGGCGUGGAAGCGAAGGACCCAGUGCACACGAAGCUCUAUCGGCGGGCUGCCGCACACGCGGCGGCCUCCGCAGACUU